rnacentral:rRNA from 1 species
GAUGAACGCUAGCUACAGGCUUAACACAUGCAAGUCGAGGGGAAACGACAUCGAAAGCUUGCUUUUGAUGGGCGUCGACCGGCGCACGGGUGAGUAACGCGUAUCCAACCUGCCCACCACUUGGGGAUAACCUUGCGAAAGUAAGACUAAUACCCAAUGAUAUCUCUAGAAGACAUCUGAAAGAGAUUAAAGAUUUAUCGGUGAUGGAUGGGGAUGCGUCUGAUUAGCUUGUUGGCGGGGUAACGGCCCACCAAGGAAACGAUCAGUAGGGGUUCUGAGAGGAAGGUCCCCCACAUUGGAACUGAGACACGGUCCAAACUCCUACGGGAGGCAGCAGUGAGGAAUAUUGGUCAAUGGAUGAGAGUCUGAACCAGCCAAGUAGCGUGCAGGAUGACGGCCCUAUGGGUUGUAAACUGCUUUUAUAAGUGAAUAAAGUGAGUCUCGUGAGGCUUUUUGCAUGUACCUUAUGAAUAAGGACCGGCUAAUUCCGUGCCAGCCGCCGCAGUAA